rnacentral:rRNA from 1 species
GACGAACGCUGGCGGCGUGCUUAACACAUGCAAGUCGAACGGAAAGGCGCGGCUUUUGCGGGUUGGUCGAGUGGCGAGGGCGGGAGUGACACGCGAGUAAAAUGCCCUUAUCUGAGGGGUAACAUUAGGAGAAAGGGGAUCUAAUCGGGUAUGAUCUCCUGCACCACGUUGGUCGUUGGAAAGAUACGGCGUUGCUGUCACGUAUCGAUGGUUCCGCGCUGCAUUAGCUAGUUGGUAAGGUAAAGGCUUACCAAGGGUACGAGGCAUAGCCGACCUGAGAGGGGGAUCGGCCACCCUGGAACUGGGACACGGUCCAGACUCCUACGGGAGGCAGCAGUAGGGAAUCUUCCGCAAUGGGCGAAAGCCUGACGGAGCAACGCCGCGUGAGUGAUGAAGGUCUUCGGAUCGUAAAACUCGGUUAUUAGGGAAGAACAUAUGUGUAAGUAACUGUGCACAUCUUGACGGUACCUAAUCAGAAAGCCACGGCUAACUACGUG